GGGUCAGCGAGUUAUUUUUAGUGGCGAGGAUAACUGAAUAAGGGAUCCGUAGCGAACGCGAGUUUUAAGAGGGCGACUAGUCGCUAGGAGUAGACCCGAAACCGGCGCGAUCUAUCCAUGGCCAGGUUGAAGAUUUGGUAGUACUAAUUGGAGGACCGAACCCAAUACUGUUGCAAAAGUAUGGGAUGAUCUGUGGAUCGGAGUGAAAGGCUAAUCAAGCACGGAGAUAGCUGGUUCUCCCCGAAAACUAUUUAGGUAUUGCCUCGUGUAUAACUCAUUGGGGUAAAGCACUGUUUCGACAAUGGGGGUUUUACUACCU
rnacentral:rRNA from 1 species